GAGUGCCUACGGGGGGCAGCAGUGAGGAAUAUUGGUCAAUGGGAGAGAUCCUGAACCAGCCAAGCCGCGUGAGGGAAGACGGCCCUAUGGGUUGUAAACCUCUUUUGUCGGAGAACAAAACCCGGGACGUGUCCCGGACUGCGUGUAUCCGAAGAAAAAGCAUCGGCUAACUCCGUGCCAGCAGCCGCGGUAAUACGGAGGAUGCGAGCGUUAUCCGGAUUUAUUGGGCGUAAAGCGCGCGCAGUGGGUUAAUUAAGGCUGAUGUGAAAGC
rnacentral:rRNA from 1 species